AGAGUUUGAUCCUGGCUCAGGAUGAACGCUAGCGGCAGGCCUAACACAUGCAAGUCGAGGGGUAGAAGGAGCUUGCUCCUUUGAGACCGGCGCACGGGUGCGUAACGCGUAUGCAAUCUACCUUGUACAGAGGAAUAGCCCAGAGAAAUUUGGAUUAAUGCCUCAUAGUAUAUUGGGUCGGCAUCGACCUAUUAUUAAAGAUUUAUCGGUACAAGAUGAGCAUGCGUCCCAUUAGUUAGUUGGUAAGGUAACGGCUUACCAAGACGAUGAUGGGUAGGGGUCCUGAGAGGGAGAUCCCCCACACUGGUACUGAGACACGGACCAGACUCCUACGGGAGGCAGCAGUGAGGAAUAUUGGGCAAUGGAGGCAACUCUGACCCAGCCAUGCCGCGUGCAGGAAGACGGUCCUAUGGAUUGUAAACUGCUUUUAUACGGGAAGAAACACCACUACGUGUAGUGACUUGACGGUACCGUAAGAAUAAGGAUCGGCUAACUCCGUGCCAGCAGCCGCGGUAAUACGGAGGAUCCAAGCGUUAUCCGGAAUCAUUGGGUUUAAAGGGUCCGUAGGCGGCCUUAUAAGUCAGUGGUGAAAUCUCCUAGCUCAACUAGGAAACUGCCAUUGAUACUGUAGGGCUUGAAUUAUUGUGAAGUAACUAGAAUAUGUAGUGUAGCGGUGAAAUGCUUAGAUAUUACAUGGAAUACCAAUUGCGAAGGCAGGUUACUAACAAUAUAUUGACGCUGAUGGACGAAAGCGUGGGUAGCGAACAGGAUUAGAUACCCUGGUAG
rnacentral:rRNA from 1 species